CAGUAGAACGCUGAAGAGAGGAGCUUGCUCUUCUUGGAUGAGUUGCCAACGGGUGAGUAACGCGUAGGUAACCUGCCUUGUAGCGGGGGAUAACUAUUGGAAACGAUAGCUAAUACCGCAUAACAAUGGAUGACACAUGUCAUUUAUUUGAAAGGGGCAAUUGCUCCACUACAAGAUGGACCUGCGUUGUAUUAGCUAGUAGGUGAGGUAACGGCUCACCUAGGCGACGAUACAUAGCCGACCUGAGAGGGUGAUCGGCCACACUGGGACUGAGACACGGCCCAGACUCCUACGGGAGGCAGCAGUAGGGAAUCUUCGGCAAUGGGGGCAACCCUGACCGAGCAACGCCGCGUGAGUGAAGAAGGUUUUCGGAUCGUAAAGCUCUGUUGUAAGUCAAGAACGAGUGUGAGAGUGGAAAGUUCACACUGUGACGGUAGCUUACCAGAAAGGGACGGCUAACUACGUGCCAGCAGCCGCGGUAAUACGUAGGUCCCGAGCGUUGUCCGGAUUUAUUGGGCGUAAAGCGAGCGCAGGCGGUUUGAUAAGUCUGAAGUUAAAGGCUGUGGCUCAACCAUAGUUCGCUUUGGAAACUGUCAAACUUGAGUGCAGAAGGGGAGAGUGGAAUUCCAUGUGUAGCGGUGAAAUGCGUAGAUAUAUGGAGGAACACCGGUGGCGAAAGCGGCUCUCUGGUCUGUAACUGACGCUGAGGCUCGAAAGCGUGGGGAGCGAACAGGAUUAGAUACCCUGGUAGUCCACGCCGUANACGAUGAGUGCUAGGUGU
rnacentral:rRNA from 1 species